rnacentral:tRNA from 1 species
GGUUCCGUGGUGUAGUGGUUAUCACACUCGCCUGUCACGCGAGGGAUCGCGGGUUCAAGUCCCGUCGGAACCGCCA